AUUGAACGCUGGCGGCAGGCCUCACACAUGCAAGUCGAACGAGUGGCGGACGGGUGAGUAAUGUCUGGGAAACUGCCUGAUGGAGGGGGAUAACUACUGGAAACGGUCGCUAAUACCGCAUACCAUCAGAUGUGCCCAGAUGGGAUUAGCUAGUGGGUGGGGUAACGGCUAACCAAGGCGACGAUCCCUAGCUGGUCUGAGAGGAUGAACGGCCACACUGGAACUGAGACACGGUCCAGACUCCUACGGGAGGCAGCAGUGGGGAAUAUUGCACAAGGGGCGCAAGCCUGAUCCAGCCAUGCCGCGUGUAUGAAGAAGGCCUUCGGGUUGUAAAGUACUUUCAGCGGGGAGGCGUUACCCGCAGAAGAAGCACCGGCUAACUCCGUGCAAGCCGCCGCGGUAAUAC
rnacentral:rRNA from 1 species